CUUUCCUCCUCCUCCUCCUCUAUUACCCUUUUUUCUUUUUCAUUCCAUUACCCGUUACCCAUUCCCCCCCCCCCCUCUCUCUCUUUCUCUUCUGAAUUGCUUAGCGCCUAACGUUUUUGUCUGUAUAUAUUGAUGAACGGUUUACGGUAAGGACUCUAUCUAUCGUUUCAUUUCGUUGUGAUACGUAAAGAACGCUACACGUGUUGCUAUAACGUUAAGAAGAUGAAGGUGAAAAAUAAAGGAACAUCAAACUGUUUGCCUGAGUGUAAAUAUUAAUAAACAGAGUAAUAAUUUUAAAGAGAGAGAGAGAGAGAGAGAGAGAGAGAGAGAGAGAGAGAGAGAGAGAGAGAGAGAGAGAGAGAGAGAGAGAGAGAGAGAGAGAGAGAGAAUGCAUUACAAUAUGUCAUGGUAAUAUAUAGGAAAGAAGACAUAUUGAGGGAAAACUGAUGAUGAUAACAAGUGAGGUUGAGAAUGAAGAGAACAAAAAGACAUAUUGAGGUAAAACUUUCAUACCUCAUUUAAUUAAUUCGUUGUAUGUGAUGAUGAGAGAUCCCAAAUAAAAGACAUGUUUGUUACUUGUAUUUAAAUGUGCAAUAAAGUUACGAAAUAGAUAAACACAAUACUCCCCUUUGCCGGGUAUACAGAACAAAGGUUACAGGUCACAACGGAGAAAAAAAAAUGAUACAGAUGAAUGUAGGAUAAAUAAUAUAACUGGCAAGAGACAGGCGAUAAGGUCAGCCAGAAAUUGGAAAAAAAGAAGGGAAAAAGAAAAGGUUAAAUUCGUGUUUGGUAACAUUAUAUACAUGGGAAAAAAGGCUCAAACUAGUAACUUGGCCCUUUAAGAAUUGCCAGAAAGAGAAAAAAAAAUUACUGUACUGUUAUAAAGAGGCUCAAAAUAAUAAAUUGGCCCUUUAAAAAUUGCCAAAAAGAGAGAAAAUAAAAGGUAUUGUACUGUUAUAAGGAGGCUCAAAAUAGUAUCUUGGCCCUUUAAGAAUUGCCAAACAAGGGAAAAACAAGGUAAUGUACUGUUAUAAGGAGGCUCAAAAUAGUAUCUUGGCCCUUUAAGAAUUUCCAAAAAGAGAUAAAAAGGUAUUAUAUUGUCAUGAGGCUCAAAAUAACUCGAUCCUUUAAGAAUUGCCAAAAAAAGAGAAAAAAGAUAUUGUACUGGUAUAAGGAGGAGGGUCAAAGGCUAUAUAUAUAAAAAAAGAGUAAACGCCACGAGCUGCUCCGAUGAAAAGAAAUAUUGAAAGUAGAGAUAACGAAAAGAAAUAUCUAAUCUUUUAUUUCGUCUUCCUCCUAUUAUUUUGCACUCGUUGUCUCGUUUUCCGUUUCCCUUCGUUCUGUCACAUUUCUCGCUCACUCUCGUCUUCAGCAAUAACGCUCAGUGACGUAUAUUCGACCAAAGUCAUGAAAUAAAGUUUGUUUUACACUGA